UACGUAGGGGGCAAGCGUUGUCCGGAUUUAUUGGGCGUAAAGAGCGUGUAGGCGGCCGUACAGGUCAACCGUGAAAACUCGAUGGCUCAACCUCGAGAGGUCGGUUGAAACCGUACGGCUAGAGUCCGGAAGAGGAGAGUGGAAUUCCCGGUGUAGCGGUGAAAUGCGCAGAUACCGGGAAGAACACCCGUGGCGAAGGCGGCUCUCUGGGACGGUACUGACGCUGAGACGCGAAAGCGUGGGGAGCGAACAGG
rnacentral:rRNA from 1 species